rnacentral:rRNA from 1 species
UGCAAGUCGAGCGGAUGAAGGGAGCUUGCUCCCUGAUUCAGCGGCGGACGGGUGAGUAAUGCCUAGGAAUCUGCCUGGUAGUGGGGGACAACGUCUCGAAAGGGACGCUAAUACCGCAUACGUCCUACGGGAGAAAGCAGGGGACCUUCGGGCCUUGCGCUAUCAGAUGAGCCUAGGUCGGAUUAGCUAGUUGGUGAGGUAAUGGCUCACCAAGGCGACGAUCCGUAACUGGUCUGAGAGGAUGAUCAGUCACACUGGAACUGAGACACGGUCCAGACUCCUACGGGAGGCAGCAGUGGGGAAUAUUGGACAAUGGGCGAAAGCCUGAUCCAGCCAUGCCGCGUGUGUGAAGAAGGUCUUCGGAUUGUAAAGCACUUUAAGUUGGGAGGAAGGGCAUUAACCUAAUACGUUGGUGUUUUGACGUUACCGACAGAAUAAGCACCGGCUAACUCUGUGCCAGCAGCCGCGGUAAUACAGAGGGUGCAAGCGUUAAUCGGAAUUACUGGGCGUAAAGCGCGCGUAGGUGGUUU